GUGUUUACAUAGACGGCACAGAGUCUGAAGUUGGAACCACACAGAAAAGAUUAGCAUGGCCCCACACGAGAAUGCCUCAAAAAUUCGCGAAGCGUUCCAUAUAUUU
ensembl:snRNA U6 U6 spliceosomal RNA